AGAGUUUGAUUCUGGCUCAGAACGAACGCUGGCGGCGCGUCUUAAACAUGCAAGUCGAACGAGAACCCUAGUGCUUGCAUUGGGGGGAAAGUGGCGAACGGGUGAGUAACACGUGGAUAAUCUGCCUCUGGGAUGGGGACAACCCCGGGAAACCGGGGCUAAUACCGAAUAAGAUGGUAGUUGCACAAGCAGCAGCCAUUAGAGGUGGGGACCGCAAGGCCUACUACCUGGAGAUGAGUCCGCGGCCCAUUAGCUUGUUGGCGGGGUAAAGGCCCACCAAGGCUAUGAUGGGUAGCCGGCCUGAGAGGGUGAACGGCCACACUGGGACUGAGAUACGGCCCAGACUCCUACGGGAGGCAGCAGUUAAGAAUCUUGCUCAAUGGGCGAAAGCCUGAAGCAGCGACGCCGCGUGGACGAUGAAGGUCUUCGGAUUGUAAAGUCCACUAAGCAGGGAUGAAUAAGCAGCGGGUAAUAUUCGUUGCGAUGACUGUACCUGCCUAAAGCCUCGGCUAACUACGUGCCAGCAGCCGCGGUAAGACGUAUGAGGCAAGCGUUGUUCGGAAUUAUUGGGCGUAAAGGGCGUGUAGGCGGGGAGCUAAGUUAGAUGUGAAAUCCAUGGGCUUAACUCAUGAACUGCAUUUAAUACUGGCUCUCUUGAGUUCGGGAGAGGUAAGCGGAAUUCCCGGUGUAGCGGUGAAAUGCGUAGAUAUCGGGAAGAACACCAGUGGCGAAGGCGGCUUACUGGCCUAGAACUGACGCUAAGGCGCGAAAGCGUGGGGAGCGAACGGGAUUAGAUACCCCGGUAGUCCACGCCGUAAACGGUGUAUACUAGGUGUUAGUGGUUUCACCACUAGUGCCGACGCUAACGCAUUAAGUAUACCGCCUGGGGAGUACGCCCGCAAGGGUGAAACUCAAAGAAAUUGACGGGGGCCCGCACAAGCGGUGGAGCAUGUGGUUUAAUUCGAUGAUACGCGAAAAACCUUACCUGGGCUUGAACUGUGCUUGAUCGGUGUAGAGAUACACCUUCCUUCGGGCAGGUACAGAGGUGCUGCAUGGUUGUCGUCAGCUCGUGUCGUGAGAUGUUGGGUUAAGUCCCGCAACGAGCGCAACCCCCACUCCUUGUUGCUACCAGGUUAUGCUGGGCACUCUAGGGGAACUGCCGGUGAUAAACCGGAGGAAGGUGGGGACGACGUCAAAUCAUCACGGCCCUUAUGUCCAGGGCUACACACGUGCUACAAUGGUCGGUACAAAGAGUUGCAAUGCCGCGAGGUGGAGCUAAUCUCAAAAAACCGAUCUCAGUUCGGAUUGUAGUCUGCAACUCGACUGCAUGAAGCUGGAAUCGCUAGUAAUCGUGGAUCAGCACACCACGGUGAAUACGUUCCCGGGCCUUGUACACACCGCCCGUCACACCACCCGAGUCGGCAGCACCCAAAGUAGCUGGUCUAACCCGCAAGGGAGGAAGGUUACCAAGGUGAAGCUGGUGAGGGGGGUGAAGUCGUAACAAGGUAGCCGUAUCGGUAGGUGCGGCUG
rnacentral:rRNA from 1 species